UCUCAACAGAUGAAUGCAGUUUUUCUCACAAGCUCAGUCAUAUGCCCUUACUUUAUUCAGAAUUAGAAUAGCAAUGUUCUGGAGAGUAGAAAAAAAAUGAACAGAGUUGAUUCCAACAGAGAAAGAGCUGAGACAUAUGUGCAGAAGACAGAACAAGUUUAAACUAUUUGGAGAUGUUUGAGACACAUCAUUUUCUCAAAUGAGAGUUGUGGUCACUUGGCACACUGAGAUAUUCUCUGUCAUUUGAGUGCUGCAUUUUUCCAUGGAAGGGAAAUUUAUGGGAUUUCUCAUUUAAGAAGUGUCCUAGGACCUGUCUUGCUCAGCCCUAAAGCCAGUCUUUCGUGCAUUUGGGAAGGACCAUUAUUCUGUUUUCAUGGUGGGUUUAUGUUGCUGUCUCACCAAUCUCUGUGGAGUCAGCUGAAUUCCAAUGGUUAUAAAAUAUCCUUCAGGUGGCUGUAAGACUACUGGUAACACAAUCCUAUAAUAUCUCAGACUUCAACUCUGUAAGAUUUUGUAUGAAAAUAACUUAAACAGUG
rnacentral:lncRNA from 1 species